rnacentral:rRNA from 1 species
ACAGCAGUCGCCGCGGUAAUACGUAGGUGGCAAGCGUUGUCCGGAAUUAUUGGGCGUAAAGGGCUCGCAGGCGGUUUCUUAAGUCUGAUGUGAAAGCCCCCGGCUCAACCGGGGAGGGUCAUUGGAAACUGGGAAACUUGAGUGCAGAAGAGGAGAGUGGAAUUCCACGUGUAGCGGUGAAAUGCGUAGAGAUGUGGAGGAACACCAGUGGCGAAGGCGACUCUCUGGUCUGUAACUGACGCUGAGGAGCGAAAGCGUGGGGAGCGAACAGGAUUAGAUACCCGUGUAGUCCCUGUCUCUUAUAC